AGUGAACGCUGGCGGCAGGCCUAACACAUGCAAGUCGAACGGCAGCACAGUAAGAGCUUGCCCUUACGGGUGGCGAGUGGCGGACGGGUGAGGAAUACAUCGGAAUCUACUUUUUCGUGGGGGAUAACGUAGGGAAACUUACGCUAAUACCGCAUACGUCCUACGGGUGAAAUCAGGGGAUCUUCGGACCUUGCGCGACUGAAUGAGCCGAUGUCGGGUUAGCUAGUUGGCUGGGUAAAGGCUCACCAAGGCGACGAUCCGUAGCUGAUCUGAGAGGAUGAUCGGCCACACUGGAACUGAGACACGGUCCAGACUCCUACGGGAGGCAGCAGUGGGGAAUAUUGGACAAUGGGCGCAAGCCUGAUCCAGCCAUGCUGCGUGGGUGAAGAAGGUCUUCGGGUUGUAAAACUCUUUUGUUGGGGAAGAACAGCAGCAGGUUAAUCCACGGCUGUUCUGACGGUACCUAAAGAAUAAGCACCGGCUAACUUCGUG
rnacentral:rRNA from 1 species